rnacentral:tRNA from 1 species
GCAUUCAGAGAAUCACGUCGGCCAGGCCGAUAUGAGAGUCCCUUUUGGGGCCUUAGCUCAGCUGGGAGAGCACCUGCUUUGCAAGCAGGGGGUCGUCGGUUCGAUCCCGACAGGCUCCA